AAGAUCCAAGAACUGUCCGCUCUAAAACACAAGCCAAUAUGAUUCUCUUCAUCUGGGCAUUUUACUGCAUCCAAGGUUCUUUUGGGCAGGUUGUUGUGACCCAGUCUGAGGUUAAAUCAGUUCAGCUUGGUCAAACAGUCUCCAUUGAUUGUAAGGUCAACACUGCAGUUUAUAGGCUUCCAACAGGCAGCACAUCUAAAGAUUACUACAUCUCCUGGUAUCUUCAGAGGCCAGAUGAACCCCCUAAACUCCUCAUAUAUUAUACAACAAUGAAGCCUUCAAGUGCUCCAUCUAGAAUGAGCGGAGGAGGCAGUUUUCACUCUGGAGGAAAUGGUCUUGAUUUCACUCUGACUAUAAACGAUGCUCAGCUUGAAGAUGCAGGAGAUUAUUACUGUAUGAGUGUCCAUAAGAUCAGUGACAAAUGGGUGUUCACACAGUGAAAAUGUGCUGUACAAAAACUUCCCUACUGGCAAUCUUCUGCAGAUGCUUCUGAGACCUGUUGACACGAGAACAAACAAGGGCACCACCAGACAAUUGCCCCCCUGACCUUCUACAAGCGACCUGUUGGAGCAGCUUUCAAGUGUAUACUUAAAUCUUCAUGGGAAUGGCCUCCCUGAUCCAGGAUCAGGUCUCCCUGAGCAAUCAACACCUAGAGGUUAUUUGGGUGAGCCUGAACCUUGUGGUCAGUCUAGCAUGCUAAAUAGUUUCUGUCUUUGCUCUGGCUGUGUGCAUGUGCUUG